rnacentral:lncRNA from 1 species
UGGAUUUUUGUUCAGUAAGAUCAACCUGACGCCUUAUAUUUUAAUUUGGACAGUGGGACUUGGUUUUAUGUAUUUAGUGGUUCUACAAAUGGUUCUGCUAUGGUUGACAUCACAAUUCUUCUAAUGAGUAGGUAAUUUUAACACCCUCUACUAUUUUAUUGGUGUUCAGUUCUGUAAUACCCAUUGGCGUUGGCUGGCAAGUAUUAUUAGUUUAUAUGAGCCUGAUCAUUUAUACUGAUGUAACUGAUCUGAAAGGAUUGGAGUAGCUUGGAAAAAUCAACUUAAAUGGUGACUCCACAUAUUUUCACAAGGAGGUUAUUACACGCAAAAAAAAGUUCCUCUUAGAGCAUUGCCUUCAGUUUCCCCCCUUCUACCAUAUAGUAGUACUGAUUAUAUGUGUCAUCUCUAUAUUAAUUUAGUUGCGACUUUUGCGUAUGCCUUGAGAGUUUUGUAUUUGCUUCUCAAUUGGUUUCGUUUAGUUACAGCAGUAUGCCAAAUAAUCCAAAAAUAAUUAAUUAAAUCACUGGACCGGCCGGAUAUAAAGAGCAUGAUUUAUACCAUCAAAUGAACAUAUAUUUUAUAUGAAAUGAAGGCACAAUCUUAAAUCUGUGGGUGCAUGCACUGCUUCCUGCCUCUGUGCUCGCAAUUUAAAUGCAGUAUAUUUUACUCACUAAUACAUCUUGAACAAUCUAAAAAAUAUAUAGCUUGGUUUAUCUUUGUAACUCCUUAUCUGAUUUUUCCAUUUUCCACAUUGUUGUGUCUAUUUUCUUAGUUUGGUCUUGUGUAAAUACUUGUCUUAGGGGUCUCUAUAUUGCAUAUACACGGAAUCUUCAAUUUGUCUCAAAUGCUCAGUGGUAAAAACCAUCCAUGCUGGCGGUUCUUAUCAGUGUGAUGGUAUGCUAACUGUUUCUGAUAUAAUUCUGCUCUAAAAGCCCUACACUAUUUUUGUCUUGUCGAUACGUCGUGCACACAAAUGCUGAGUUAAAAGGUCAUAACUUUACACUAAUUUAAGAUUGUCUUGAUCUCAAGUGUUGGCUCCUGCAGCAUUGCAUUUCACCAAGUGAAAUGCUACAUUUCUACUCCUAACCCAUUUCUCUCUUUCUUAGUGUUUUUCUUAUGUAGGUUGGAAGAAAAGAAGAAGAUCCAGAGAAGAUCUUAGUAAUAAGAUAGUUUUGACUUUGUGAAACUUGCUACCUAUCGAUGAAACUGUGUAAUAUUGAUGAAACUAUGUAUAUGUAUGGAUGAAACUUGCUACUAUUGGUAACAUGUGUU